rnacentral:rRNA from 1 species
GGUUCCGUAGGUGAAGCUGCGGAAGGAUCAUUG